GCUGGCGCCCUCUGCAGGACCGGCUCGGGCUCUCCGGAACGGUCAGCCCGGCCCCUGCGUGCCCAAACAGGACUCGGUCUCACUGCAGGUGCGGCUGGUGGCCUGUACAGGACCAGCUCAGGCUCGCCGGACUGGUCACCCGGACCCCUGCGUGCCCCCACCGGACUCGGCCUCCUCCGCAGCUGCGGCUGGAGCAUGCUGAAGGAGCCGGUCCCGGUCGCCGGACCGCUCAGACCGGCCCGUGCGGGCCCGCACAGCACUCGGUCACACUAAAGCCGCAGCUGGCUCCCUCUGCACGACCGGCUCGGGCUCGCCAGACCGGUCAGACCGGCCCCUGGGGACCCCCACAACACUUGGUCACACUAAAGCCGCAGCUGGAGGCCUCUGCAGGACCGGCUCGGGCUCUCCGGAACGGUCAGCCCGGCCCCUGCGUGCCCCCACCCGACUCGGCCUCCUCCGCAGCUGCGGCUGGAGCAUGCUGAAGGAGCCGGUCCCGGUCGCCGGACCGGUCGGAACGGCCCCUGCGGGCCCGCACAGCACUCGGUCACACUAAAGCCGCAGCUGGCGCCCUCUGCAGGACCGGCUCGGGCUCGCCAGACCGGUCGGACCGGCCCCUGGGACCCCCACAACACUUGCUCACACUAAAGCCGCAGCUGGAGGCCUCUGCAGGACCGGCUCGGGCUCUCCGGAACGGUCAGCCCGGCCCCUGCGUGCCCCACAGGACUCGGUCUCACUGCAGGUGCGGCUGGUGGCCUCUACAGGACCAGCUCAGGCUCGCCGGACGGUCACCCGGACCCCUGCGUGCCCCCACCGGACUCGGCCUCCUCCGCAGCUGUGGCUGGAGCAUGCUGAAGGAGCCGGUCCUGGUCGCCGGACCGGUCAGACCGGCCCCUGCGGGCCCGCACAGCACUCGGUCACACUAAAGCCGCAGCUGGCUCCCUCUGCACGACCGGCUCGGGCUCGCCAGACCGGUCGACCGGCCCCUGGGGACCCCCACAACACUUGGUCACACUAAAGCCGCAGCUGGAGGCCUCUGCAGGACCGGCUCGGGCUCUCCGGAACUGUCGGCCCGGCCCCUGUGUGCCCCACAGGACUCGGUCUCACUGCAGGUGCGGCUGGUGGCCUGUACAGGACCAGCUCAGGCUCGCCGGACCGGUCACCCGGACCCCUGCGUGCCCCCACCGGACUCGGCCUCCUCCGCAGCUGUGGCUGGAGCAUGCUGAAGGAGCCGGUCCUGGUCGCCGGACCGCUCAGACCGGCCCGUGCGGGCCCGCACAGCACUCGGUCACACUAAAGCCGCAGCUGGCUCCCUCUGCACGACCGGCUCGGGCCGCCAGACCGGUCAGACCGGCCCCUGGGGACCCCCACAACACUUGGUCACACUAAAGCCGCAGCUGGAGGCCUCUGCAGGACCGGCUCGGGCUUCCGACGGUCG
ensembl:lncRNA